rnacentral:piRNA from 1 species
UGGCGCUGCCACAGAUCAGGCCGAGGUGUA